ensembl:lincRNA
GGAUUUAGCUCAGCGGCAAAGCGCCUGCCUGGCAAGUGCAAGGUCGAGAGUUCGGUUCCCGGUACCGGAGAAAAAAAAAAAAAAAAAGAAGUGAUAGAGUUCAAGGCUGAAAGACAGCUUGGCAUGCAGACCUCAUCUUGUGUGGAGGCACUUCCUGGGGACUGUCCUGUUGGCCCCACAUCAGGCAGGCUGCGGAGGCAGGGAACAUCACUGCACCCCCACACCAGGGGUUUGAAGAUGGCAGAGACUCUAGAAUAUGGGAUGCUCAUCUCUUUGGGAGAGAUGCUGAGGAUGUGAUGUCAGAAGGUACUAUGACCUCACUAGCCACAGGGGAAGCAAGCAGUGUCAUCAGAAUGCUCUGCAGAGGACUCGGACAGGCUGGGAUGAGAUAAUGGGAAGAGAAGAGUAACACAAGACACUGCUCUUGUCCACUGGACCACAGAGAAAACCUGCUCUGCACCCUGUCAAAGGGUAUGACAGAAAACAUGAGACAGGAGACUCUGGUCAGAUCGUCCCGUCAACAUGUCCUGUGCAUGCUGUCAUCCUGGGAGACAGUGAGGCUGCAGCUUAUCAAGGAGACCUCAGCAUCGGCGCCAGUUGGGGGUCCCCACCCUGCAGAGGGAGUGGGGUCGCAAGGAGGGAGUUCCGCGUAUUGUUCCUCGCAGUUCUGCUACUGGCACCAUCGUCUAUCCACAAGCACCAGCAGAAACAAAUGCUCACCCCAGGUGCCCUUCUGUGACAUCGUCUCCCUCUUUCGGCCAGGGACCAAUCAAGGAACCCUCCAGCAAGAGCAAGAACACACACAGAAUAGUCACCAACAUAGUUGCUCACUGACUCAGAACUCCUGAAACUACAGGUAGGACCAAAGACUGUACUUCUUCCAGCACAUACAGUGCUUAUAAUAAAGCUUAAUAUAUAAAUCAGGUACAGCAAGAAGUUAACAACACUCAUAAUAAAAUCAAAAACUUAGAACAAUAUAGUGCAGUGAAAUUUCCAGUAUUACCACUCUUGUACUGUGGUCAAUUAGUUAGUAAAACAAGGGUGAUCAGUUACCUGUUCAGAACCACGUUGGCUCCUACAUGACUAACCAGGGCUGCAUACACUGUGUGGACACAGUGGACAGAGGGGUCACCUGAGGUGGAGUAGUACCUGUGAGAUUUCACCCUGCUACUCAACCUUGUGCAAUGCAUGGAUUAUUUAUUUCUGGAACUUUCCAUUUAAUAUUUUGGACUCAGGUGACCCAGAGUGACAGGAAGUAGAAGUAAUGACAAAGGAGGCAAGGUCACAAGCCCCACUGCCUGCCCUGCACACAGCCUGACCCCAUCUCUAUCCACCAUGGAUUCCUUCUAUUAACUGUAAAGCCCAGGAAAUUAUGAUUCCUCCAGUGUCGUGUCCUAGAGACAAUGUCAGUCUUGAGGACUUGGCAUCCAUGGAUGUAAUCACAUUUAUAAACUUACUAAUGGACAGCAAGAGCAGAAGUGGCAUCUAAGUGACUGACUGAUAUGAGCAGUUGUUCCCAGCAUCCGUGGCGAGAAGGAUCAGUUGAGGGACCUGCUGGAGAAACACUCCCCUGGUAAGCAACCAGGCCAGUUACAGGAGGUCCUGUUAAGUCUGAAUUUUAGGCACGAAGAGUGUUUAUUAUAGUCUCACCCAAUAUUUGAGCCAUAUUUAUACUUACUAAAAUAUCUGUCACUUAUUUGAAAUUUAAAUCUAGCUGAGCAUCCUGUGUUUUCAUUUGCCAAAUGGCAACCCUAAUAGUUCUACACCACUAAACCGCUCUUGAGCACCUGGAAUUAGGCUCAAUAAUCUGAAAUUUCAUCAAAUCCUUGUUGAAUUCUGGUUAUCAGCCUGGGGAUCCUGGUGAAGGAGCAGCAAUCCCCUUCCAGACCCUCCUCGGGGCCACCUGCUUCCCUCCAACCCAGGACUCACUGCCUUACACGCAGGGUACCAUGUGGUGCCCUGGCUAGGGCUCCACAGGGGGCUGGGAUGCCAGGCGGAGCUGGCUCUUGAAGUGCUUGCUCCAUAGCUUUGGGAAGUGACACAUUUUUUAUGUCAGGAUAAAAAUAAACAAAACCAAAGUCAAGAGAGUUCUGUCCAUCGUGCUUUCUCUACUUGCCAGCUGUACAAACUUGGAAAGCACUUAGGCCCUGUGAUCCUCAGCCAUUUACUUUUUUCAUUAAGGAAAUAUUCCUUGAGUGCCCUUGUGUGUGAGGUCCUUUGCCAAGCCUGGGAGACACCAGAAACAGGCAGGAUGGUGGGGUCCUGGCUCACAGGGGGCACCUAAAUAUGGUCAGCUCCCUCAUCCCUGGAUCCACCUCAUACUCACCAACUCAGAUCAAAAAUGCCAAAAAGAACUUUCAUCUUUUCCUUGUCCUACUCCCUAAACAAUACAGCACAGCAGCUGUCUGCCUGGCAUUUGCCCUGCAUCAGGUGCUGUAAGUGAUCUAAUCUGUGUGUACAUUCUACAUGAUGCCUACAGCAUUUCAUCUGCAUCUACAUCAGCAUCACGGAGGUGAGUAUCUGUGCAGAGACUGAGGGUUGACUGCACAGCUAACUAAAAAUGCAAAUGUGGCAAAAACAAUCACCCAGGCACUGCACGGGCAUGUGUGAUGAGAGCAGGGGCACCUGCAGUCAUUGUCCCUGAAACCACCUCUGAGAAGGUGCCCAUAACGCCGGGGCUCUGUGUGGACAGAAGCCCUCCAAGAAGGCAGCUCCGCAAGGACCCCUGCUCCAGACCUUGGAGCCCGCAUAAGCCGUGAUCCCAGGCAUAUUAGCACGGCUCUUAUUUUCUGUAACCCGAUGCUUUGGCACUGGGGCCUGCUGACCCAGAGGGAUGGCCCUCCCAGGCAUGGGCAGUUCCCAAAGAUUGCCAACAUCUGGACUGUGCACACCUCUCAUGUGUAAACCAACCAACACAGAGCCCACAUCCAGCCACCUCCCUACUGAGUUCUCCUGCAACAUGGAUUACAAAUUGCUUAGGGUGGUCUGUGCCAGGGACUACAUCAUUCCUUCCUUUCACAUCUGCAGUUUUCUGUGUCUUUUUUUUUUGUAUUAUUGC